UCAGCUUCCCGAAAGUAACACCUUCAGAAUCAGCCGGGAGCAAAACAAGCAGCACACUGACAAAUCCCCCUGCUCUCUCCACAUCCCAUAAUGCCAUCUGUUAGACAGCGUCUCCACAGUGAUUAGGUCAGCCCCUGCUGCCUCUUAUGCCUUAGGAGUGCUCACUGGAUUUGUGCCAGGCAGUUUGGAGUUUUUGAGAGACAGUUAUCAUCCAGCCGCCCCUCACUCGUCUAAAGGAUGAACAUAUUCCAACUCAAGUUGAGCUAUGUGGCUCAACAAGCUGGAUGUGAGGUGAUUAUUAAACACCGGUGCAAUCUCCCCUGGCCAGAUAAAGCUGGAUAAAGGGAACAGGUAUGUGGUAGAAUCCCGUUUCCUCCUCCACUUCCUCAUUACGGACUGCGGCACCUACUUGAAAGUCCACACACAUCUCCCGCUCUCCGUGCUCCUGCGCAACCAGGAAUACCUUUAUUAAAUCAGAAAGGGAAGAAAUCUAAUUUAGGCUUGGUAUCAUGAACAGGAAUGUCCCUCGUCUGCCAUGAAGUCUGGUCUCAAUCUGCGAGACAGCGAACCCACCCCGAGAAGAGACAGACAGCUCCACUCAGGCAGAGAUCUGAGCUCACCGUGGCUGCAGAAUGUGUGGUGAUUAGAGUAAUGUGGGUUUUUUCGGAGCCCGUCGGCAGCCGUAGCAGGUCGGGGAGCAGAACAGGCAGAUAAGAGCCAGCGGUGAGGAGGUUUAAUUAAAUAACGGGACAUUAUACGGCUGGAUUACCCGAGUCUCUAGCGUGAGGACGCAGAGCGGUAGGACCACCGGACAAUGGGAAUGCUGAGCAGAGCAAGACUGGACAUGGGCCAAAAGAGGACAGGGAGAGAG